CAGUUGGAAACAGCUGCUAAUACCGGAUACGACCCUGGCGGGCAUCUGCCGGGGUGGAAAGCUCCGACGGUCAGGGAUGGGCUCGCGGCCUAUCAGCUAGUUGGUGAGGUAACGGCCCACCAAGGCGACGACGGGUAGCCGGCCUGAGAGGGCGACCGGCCACACUGGGACUGAGAUACGGCCCAGACUCCUACGGGAGGCAGCAGUGGGGAAUAUUGCGCAAUGGGCGAAAGCCUGACGCAGCAACGCCGCGUGCGGGAUGAAGGCCUUCGGGUUGUAAACCGCUUUCAGCAGGGACGAAGGGUUUCUGACGGUACCUGCAGAAGAAGCACCGGCUAACUACGUGCCAGCAGCCGCGGUGAUACGUAGGGUGCGAGCGUUGUCCGGAAUUAUUGGGCGUAAAGAGCUUGUAGGCGGUCUGUCACGUCGGAAGUGAAAACUCAGGGCUCAACCCUGAGCCUGCUUUCGAUACGGGCAGACUUGAGGAAUGUAGGGGAGAACGGAAUUCCUGGUGGAGCGGUGGAAUGCGCAGAUAUCAGGAGGAACACCAGUGGCGAAGGCGGUUCUCUGGGCAUUUCCUGACGCUGAGAAGCGAAAGCGUGGGGAGCAAACAGGCUUAGAUACCCUGGUAGUCCACGCCGUAAACGGUGGGCACUAGGUGUGGGACCUAUUCCAUGGGUUCCGUGCCGCAGCUAACGCAUUAAGUGCCCCGCC
rnacentral:rRNA from 1 species